UACGUAGGGGGCAAGCGUUGUCCGGAAUCAUUGGGCGUAAAGAGCUCGUAGGCGGUCUGUCGCGUCGGCUGUGAAAUCCCGAGGCUCAACCUCGGGUCUGCAGUCGAUACGGGCAAACUAGAGUAUUGCAGGGGAGACUGGAAUUCCUGGUGUAGCGGUGAAAUGCGCAGAUAUCAGGAGGAACACCGGUGGCGAAGGCGGGUCUCUGGGCCUUGCCUGACGCUGAGGCGCGAAAGCUAGGGGAGCGAACAGG
rnacentral:rRNA from 1 species